rnacentral:lncRNA from 1 species
UCUGUCUAAAGUCUGGUCCAGAAUCUGCCAAAUGUUUGUCUCUCUGUUUUGGAUGACCUUCUGUGCAAAUCACUUGAUAUGAACUGGUAGAUGAUGUUAUUAGGACUUAAUGUCUUCUAGAUAAUUGUAAUAGGCAUCUCAAGCUUUAAAAUGACAUAUUGCAUGCCUGAAUCGACCAUCAUUUGCCAUGUUUUACAUUUUUUUUUCUAAUCCAUUCUGAAAUCUGGAAUUUGCCUUGGUCAGAAAUGCAUAUUCUGUUUUUGGGUGUGCCUGAUUGUCUGCCACUUUCCUACGAUCUUUUGAGCAUAGAUUUUGAGGUUGAUAAUACCAAAAAAGUAAAUCACGUGUGGGAUGGUCUUGCUCUAUUGUUCUCUCUUUUAGCAAAGUUCUGUUGUUUGAUAAUUGAUAUUAGAUAUCCACCAUCAAACCAAUUUCCAACACUAAUCACUUUGCCCAAUAGCUUAUUUGUGUUCUACCGAUCCAAACUCUGUGUGUUUUUGUUUGUAAAGAUGUCUAGAGUUAUGUUGUUCUUUAGUAUCGAUAUUUCUUUGCUUGCUGUUCAUAUGUCCCGGUGUGUGUGAAAUUGUUUAGUUGUGUCAUUGAUGUGCUGUUUUUGCUGUUUCUUUGUGUAUUGAUUUUGCUGGUUCUUUGUUUUAAGGGCCAAAUCAUGCGUCAUUGUCUUCUUGACAUUUGAAACACGUGUUACAAGUUUCGCAUCAAUGCAUGGCAUAUCAUAUUUGAAUCUCGUUUGAUGUGAAUAUCAUGCAUCCAUUUGGCUAAUUGCAAUUGAAACUUGUCAUGCAUGACAUUCUUAGUUCUAAGUCACUUUGCAAUGUUAAUGACUUGUGUGAUUUCUUUGCAUUCUGAUUUAGGGUUAAAUGUUUACCCAAACUUUUUUUUCGCAUUCAACAUUAUGUCAUGUGCAAGUUUCACAUUUUUGUGCAUUGUCUAGGUGGUCUUGCGAACCAUUAAACAUGCAUUGUAUUUUGUCUUGUUUGUGGCUGACAUGCGCAAUUUCACAAAUAUCAAUUUUUGACCAUCAAUUAGAUCUUGAUUGGACUUGAACCCUAUUAGGAAGUCUUAAGAUUCAUCUUACUCUUUCAGAUGAUGUUAGUUUUGCAUCGUUUACAUAUAUUUGAUUUAGAAAUGUGUUUCUUUCAUUUGUUUGCAUCUAGUCACCCAAAUUUCUUAGAUUAGGUUUAAAAUAGGAUCUUGAACAUGGAUAAAGCGUGAAGAUGGUGGAGGUCGAUGUCCAUUCCGACCAUUGUCUUGUACUAUUUGUUUUCCCGACAUAUGUCUCGGGUUCUAUGCAUUGUAUAAAACCCGAUGAGUUGCGGUUUUCCUUUCUUUCUCAAUUGUCUUCUCUUUUAUAUUUUAAGAAUUGCAUGAUUAGGUUUAACUGCUUUUCUUGAUUGUUUACUUCAUGUCUUGCAAUUUCUAUUUCAUUAUUUGUUUUCCUUUCAUUUCUUAGGAAUAGAAUAGAAUGAAAGUAAUCCACCACGCAUAAUCAUUUAGUAUAGAAUUGACGAUCCUGAAAAUAUAAAAAGAAAUGGAUGAACAUAUUAGGAAAAACACAAUAAAUUGUUUAGGUACUGAAAGGUCGCUAAUAGCAAUAUUAGCGUAACCCAAGUCCCCAAACCUAGAUAUCUGGUUACGUAGGAAUCGAGGGAACACUCCCGACCCUCGAUUAGGUUUCUAGCCGACCCUUAAAAUGAGGCUAGUGGCAACUCCUGUCUAUUUUUAGGUUGUUUAAUACCUAGAUCGUAUAAAUAAAUCCGUUGUCGCAAGGGGUACGAGUUUGGGAGAGCUCGCGAUCUCAUGAGGAAACUCUCGUGAUCAAAGUAUCCCUAAACACGACCUUUCCUACCUUGGACUUUUCGAGGGCGGCGAGAUCGGGUCGCGACAGGUUUGGCGACUCCGCUGGGGACUGGUUACUAGGUUAAGAGUACUUGAAGCCGUUUAAAAAUGGUUGUUGUGUUUUAACUAACAUGUCUUAUGUAGGAUCGCCUGCAUGUCAAAGUCACAUGGAAAAUCAGGUUAGUCGCUAACCUCGUGUUAAAUGGUUUUGUAGGUGGGAGUUAUAAGGGGAGGCGUGCUUGUAAACCCUUUGUUUUGCAGGUGGUGUAAGGAUGUAUGAAUGUAUGAGGGUUUAUAUUGAAGUGCUGGAUGUUUAAAUUUAAAUGCAUGUUUACAAGCUUUAGCACGACAUUGCACACACAACCGUGGUCUAAAACCCCGAUCGCCCAAUCUAGGACCUUAGGAGGGUUUAUGGGUGGAAUCUGCGAGUGGAUGCUCGUGGUAAUCCAUUACUUACAUAAACCUGCUCAUCCCAAUCGAUAAAAAUAGCAUUGACCGACGAUAUUAGCGGUGUGUAAACUAUUUUUAUCCUUUGGGAUGAGGACCUUGAGCCUUUAGCACCCUUACCUUAGGUGUUAAAACCUCAGUUUCAUGCGACAUGUGAUUUGUGCUUGUCAUGUGUCUGGUGGGUAAGAUAUCGUUCCUUCUUCAUCAUGCUUAUCUUUUACUUUCCAUAUUUCAAUUAUGCAAUUUUUAUAUUCCAACAGCGAUAUGUUUUAAUCAUGAGUGCCCCUUUAGAUUUAGGAUUAGAUGGGUAGACCCGAAGUGGAUGUGAUCCCUGUGCCUGGAAUCUCAAGACUCUAUGGGAGAAUCUCGACCCAAGACAUCAAGAUUACAUGGAAAGAUUCCCAAGCCUCAAGGAUUUCGGCGAGCUCAUAUUAUCAAACAAGAAGACAUUGCCUUAAUCGAUGAGAAACGCUUGGCCCAUGAUAACAAGUGUCUCCACGCGAUCCCACCUAGUCCUUAGGUUUUCAUUUCAUACACUUUUCUUGUAAAGGGAAUUCAUUUGUGUUUCCCUCUUUUCUAUCAAGGUUUCCCUGUAUUCAUUUUCAUAUACCUUGUAAAAUCGAACUACUUUGUAAGCUUCAAGAAAGCAAGAUUAUGUUUCCCUUGUAAUUGUUCGAUGAAAUGAAUAACAUUCUUGAACAUUUUCAUGUAAUUUUUAGAAAAUGGGCAUUUUGAUUAAAUAUUUGUCGUCAUUCCUUUUCAAUUGUAUAAUUUCUUUUGAAGAAAUUUUGAUAAGAGGAGGUUAUAUGAUACUGGAUCAUAUACACUUCUUAUCAUUAUUUCAUCUCAAGAAAAUAUAAAAUUGACUAGGAUUUGUACUUUAAUGGUUUCUUUUGAUUGGUACUAAUUCGAGUCAUUUUCUUUUACAGAAGAUUUUGAAAAAAACGGUUGAAGAAAGAUUUGUUAUACAAACUCGCCGCCAAACAAAGAUGGAAAAUGAAGAUACCCAAGCCCGUGUCAUUAAUAUGGAGAAUCAAAUGGCGCAGCUGAUGACGUUAUUAGCUGAUCUCUCCAGCCAAGUCAAAAACUUGAUGUCUGUAACUCUUGCUUCUUCCACCAUGAAUAUUCCUACCGCACCCCCUGAAGUGCCGGUAGUAGAACCUGUGGCAAAAGGGCCUGCGGAAGAGAUUCCCAUUGCAAUCCCGAUAGUUAUUGAUCCAGAGCCUCCAUCUAAAGAGAUUCCAACCUCACACUUUGAUGAAGAAAAUGCAAGACGUCUCGCAAAGAUUGAUGAACGCCUUUGCAUGCUGCAAGGCUAUCGGUUGCAGGGGUUUGAUAAAUUGUCACCCUUUGCCAAAGUUACGGUCCCUGAAUUCUAUAAGGAGCCGGAGUUCACAAGAAAAUACGAUGGCAUCGGAUGUCCUAAGACACAUUUGAAGUACUACAUGGGCAAGAUGGCCCGUUAUUCAGAUAAUCCCCCACUCUUGAUCAAUUCAUUUCAGGACAGCCUGGUUGGUCCUGCGUUAACCUGGUUUAUAGAGUUGGACAUGGAGAAAAUCCAUACUUGGGAAGAUCUUGUUGAUGAAUUCCUUCAGCAAUACAAAUUCAAUACUGAAAUUGCUCCGACUCGGGAGGAAUUAGUCCGUGUCGAGAAAAGGAGGACUGAAUCAUUUAGAGCCUACGCUCAAAGAUGGAGGGUCACUGAGUCUCAAGUAAAACCGCCAUUGUCUGAGAAAGAGACCAUGAAGUUGCUGCUUCAAGCUAUGCCCCGUGAUUUUUUUUGAAAAGAUGUACAACCAUACUUGUAUGAACUUUGCUACAUUUGUAGAGUUGGGAGAACGCAUUGAGGGGAUCAUGCGGGAAGGAAGGUUGACGGAGAACACAAACCGUCGAUAUACCCCGAAGAGAGAUAAGGAAUCGACUGUGGAGAUCACUUAUAUACAAAAUUCCUCUUCUCAGAAGCCAUAUAAUCCUCAAGCUCAUAAACCUGCCAUGGAAGUAGGGGGGAUCUUCCAGAAACUUUGAGCGUAAAGGAAAGGUCCCUCAAAGGCAAUUUACUCAAUUGCCUAGACCCAUGUCAUAACUACUUUCAAUGCUGAUCGAAAAUCAUCUUGUGGCGAAAGAAAUCCCGAGGAAUAAUCUGCCAAAGUUUGUCGGAUUCGACCUUAAUAAGACAUGUGAGUAUCAUAUGGGUGAAAAAGGUCAUCAUGUGGACAACUGUUUGAUGCUCCGUUAUAAGAUCUAGGAUUUGCUGGAUAAAAAGCUGCUCACCUUUAAGGACUCAACACCGAAUGUCCAACAAAAUCCCCUUCCAAAGCAUUCUGAAGAUGUCAACAUGGUUGGCGCUAUUGAUGGAAAUGAAGAACCUACAGUUCCCACUGUGUAAGGGAUGUUUCUAGUUCUUGCAUUCAAUUUUUAGUUGUAUUCCAUUUAGUUCUCCCCUGUGAGGGAAUUCCAUUCAUUUCUCCCCUGCGAGGGAAUUCCAUUCAUUUCAUUCAUUUGUGCUUGUAAUAAUCUGGAUCAUAAACUUUCUAGAUCCAAGAUGAUAUACGUUGUAAUGCAAUUUUCGCAUAUCAAUAAAAUUCAUGUUUUGUUAAUAGACGUGUGAGGCCCAAAUCAGUCCUAUGAUGAUGCUUUGAGGCCUGAGCCUCCACAUGAUCUAUAGUUUCAAAAUGUUUUAGUGGAACAAAGAUGUCCAAUGACAUGAGGGCUAGUUCCUGAUAUUUUUUUAAAAUAAAAUAAACCAAAAAACAAUUUGAAUUUGAAAACAAGUUUUUCAUGACAUUUACAUACAUUGCAUUCGUUUAUAUGUAUAUAUACUAACCAUUUUUCAGUUGCAUCUCAGACAUGACAUUUCACAUCAUGAUAGUCAUUUGCAUGGCUCGGAUUCGCAUUCAAAAGACUUUGACGAACCCGAUUAUUCCGACUCAGAGAAUGAAGAUGAUCCUCAAGGUAUUGAAAAAAGAAUGGCACAUACAUGAAGAGUCCAAACCUUCUAUCACCAAACAGCCAGUCACUCUAAAUUUAGGAGAUUUAGAUAACCCUAAAGAAACCAAGAUUGGGGCAGGUCUCUCUCAAGCAAAUGCCAAUGGAUUAAUUGGGCUCUUGAAAGAAAUAUAUGAAGGAGAGUGUGGCACUCAUAUGAACGGUCAUCUCUUGGCUAGAAAAAUUAUGAGGCUCGGUUACUAUUGGUUGACCAUGGAAGCCGAUUGUAUUCAACAUGUGAGGUACUGUCAUCAAUACCAAGUCUAUGGAGACAAAAUCAAUGCUCCUCCUAAUGAGCUACAUCAAAUGUCCGAGUCUUGGCCUUUUUCAAUGUGGGGCAUCGACAUCAUCGGACCGAUUAAUCCUAAAGCAUCGAAUGGACAUCGUUUUAUCUUAGUAGCAAUUGAUUACUUCACCAAAUGGAUUGAAGCCAAUUCUUAUGCCCAUGUUACUGCAAAGAGUGUGACAAAAUUCAUCCGUCGUGAUAUCAUCGCUCGAUAUGGAGUUCCUAAAGCGAUCAUCACAGAUAAUGGAUCAAAAUUGAACAAUAAAGUGGUGGAUGAUUUACUUGGAGAAUUCCACAUUCGCCAUUUGAAUUCUUCUCCUUACCGCUCACAAAUGAAUGGAGUUGUUGAAGCAGUGAAUAAGAACAUCAAGAAGAUUUUAGCCAAAACGGCGGAAAAUUAUUGUGAUUGGCAUGAUCGGUUGCCAUAUGCUUUGUUUGCUUAUCGAACUUCAAUUCACACUUCGACUGUGGCAACACCGUUCUCAUUGGUUUAUGGGAUGGAAGCUGUAUUACCCGUGGAAGUGGAAAUUCCUUCACUGAGGGUACUUUCUCAAAUCAAGCUCUCUGAAGCUGAAUGGGUUCAACAAAGAUUUGAACGACUUAAUAUGAUUGAUGAAAAGCGGGUAAAAGCCUUAUGCCAUGGACAAAGCUAUUAGAAGAGAGUAGCUAGGUCAUUCAACCGCAAGGAUAGACCAAGGCAUUUCGAGAUUAAUGAUCUUGUUUUGAGAAAAAUUUUACCUAUCAUUCUAGAUCCUCGUGGGAAGUUUACUCCAAAAUAUGAAGGUCCAUAUAUUGUAAGAAAAGUGCUACCGGGUGGGGCAUUAAUUCUUGUACAAAUGGAUGGCCAAGAAUUGCCAAGACUUGUAAAUGCUGAUGCUGUCAAGAAGUAUUAUCCAUGAAUAAAGUGAAAGGCCUUUUAGCCAUUUUUUGAUCGAAUCCGAGCCACUUUAGGAUGUUUGCAUCGUGCAUUGCAUGCAUACAUAUUGCAUCUACAUGUUUGUUCAUUUUGCGGGAUCUCUGACGAAGAUUCUACUUGUCCGCAAGAGGUUCAUUUCAAGAGUGCAAAACUUUCAAAAGUGUCCAUUCUUCUUUAGAACUUAGAAGUGACCUUAUCCUUGCCAAAAGAGUCAGUUAGAAUUCUAGAAGUACAGUUAGAACUCUAGAAAUGAACCCAUGUGCUAAGCAAAGCCUAUUCUGUUUACAAAUUUUGUCCAAUCUUACUUCUAAAAAAUCUCCCCGGUAGGGUCAAUGAAACAUGUCCUUUCAGAUAAAAUUUCAUUAUAUUUUCAUUUCCCCAGGGAGUUGAAUUUAACCAAAGUGUGCUUUGGAAAACCUGAAAAGGAUUGUUAAAUAUGCCAAGUGGUAGUGCUUAAAAUGAUGAGAGCCAACCCUUUUACCAAACACGUCCUCAUACACUCUUUGAGAGAAUUGAGUAGAAAGAACCAUGUCUUAGGGCAUAGGAUUCAUUCACGGUGAAUACAUGAUUUGAAAUGAUCAAGGCAUUUCAUUUCUCAAUCCCAAACACUAUUGAUAUCCCUUGCAAGCCACUUUGAACCAAAUAGGGAGCAUUUCAAAAUAACCCUAUCAAGAACAACUCCACAUUAGGGCAAAAUAGGGGGUCUUGGUUGAAAAUUACGGAGCAAAAGAUUAAGAAAGAUUUUAUUGCUUUCACUUGUAUCAAUCUUCUUAUGCUAGCUUCAGGUGAUUUCUUAUCGAAACUCGAAGCAUCCUAAAGUGAUGAAGAGCAUUCCGUUCACUACCACAAACACAAUUAUCCUUUGCUUAGCCAAUUUAAGCCUUAUGCAAUUCUUUCAUAACCCCAGGUGAUGAUUAUCUCCCCACACUGGGGCAAGGCACAUGAUUUACCAACAAAAUUGAGAAUAUUGGUAAUGUUUGUAAAUGCCACUCGAGAGUCCUAGAUACUCAAAAGAGAAUGAAAACUAGGGGGCAUGAAAAAGCAGUGUGCCUGGUAAGAGCAAGGCCAAUGCCCAUGAAAAAAAUGCAAAGAAAAGCAAGAAUGCAAAAAAGAGCGAAAUCCACGAUUAUGCAAAGGAUCAUUCAUUGAAAAACAAAAGAAAUAUCUUGCAAGAGAAAACAUGUAUUGCAAGCAAUAUCAUUAGAACAAAGAGCGAAGCUCUCAUAUCUCAAGACAAAUUACCCAAAGGACUCUCGAGAUAGGUUAAAUUUCAAGAGUUGAAUUUUUGAAAAGUCAUGUGAUGGUAAUGAUGCCAAGAUAAUCACUCACUUUUUAACCCUUUGAUAUCUGAAAGUUUUUCAAGCCUUUCUAAGCCUCACCUGAACCAACACUACAACCCUUAUCCAAAGUCUCUUCCGAUUGGGAUGGUUCGAGUUGAAAUGAGAAUAUCACAUAGGAGCUACCUCUAGAAGGAGUGGAAGUAAUCCUAUCUUAUCUUAUCUUCAAGGUUCUUGACUUGUAAACCCAAUGAAGAUAUUGAUUGAAUUUUCAUUUAUUGGCCUCAAAGUGCAUACCCUUUGUGUAAGCCCAUGACCAAGCCAUCAUUACGGUCCCUUCAAAAGACCUUUUGAUCAAUGGAUUGUAUUCACUAUGAACGUUUCCGAAAACCUUAGACCUAGGUUGAGUGAGAUUUCUCCAGUAAGAUUUAAACAGUUUUCCCAUAUCAAUGGUUGGGAACAAAAGCCCUUUUUGAGAGUCAGUGUGAAAGACCCCUUUUGAUUAGGAUAUUUCCACUUGGCAUAUUUGACUUAACCCUUAGAUGGUUAAUCAAAUCUCAUUUUGUUAAAAUCAUCUCUGAAAGGAUUUGACAAUUGGCAUUAUUUCGCAAGAUUGGCUCUCAAGUAAUCUUGAAACUCUUUUUCAAAAUAUUUGUUCCUUAGUGAACCGGUUUUUGGUCAUCCUAAACCAUAUCAUUGUCUCUUAAGUUCUAGGUUAUCUUAAAACCUUGUCCCCAAGUUCUAGGUUAUCUUAAAACCUUGUCCCCAAGUUCUAGGUCCUCUUAAAACCUUGUCCCCAAGUUCUAGGUUCUCUUAAAACCUUGCCUCUUAAGUUCUAGGUUCUCUUAAAACCUUGUCUCUUAAGUUCUAGAUUGUCUUAAAACCUUGUCUUUUAGGUUCGUGGGUCCAUCCUUAAACCACACUAGGUUCGUGGGUCCAUCCUUAAACCACUAGGUUCGUGGGUCCAUCUUUAAACCACACUAGGUCCGUGGGUCUAUCCUUAAACCACUAGGUUUGUGGGUCCAUCCUUAAACCACACAGUAAGACUAUCAUACCCGGUCAAAGCCCGUUCUUACACGGUAAAACCUUUCUCCUGGUCGAAGUCCGUUCUUACACGGUAAGACUUUUCUCCCAGUCUAAACCAUACGGUUUGAGGCCAUCCUUAAACCAUUCAUUUUCCAUUUAGUGAUUUUAUAUCGUUCAUUCCAUUCCACGAGAGAGAGAAACAAAGAUAGACUGAAUAAACCUCAACAACAAUUCAGAUACCCUCAUGAGCACAGGUAAGUAUCUGGUAUGUCUCUAAUAAACUAUCAUUGCUUUUGUCUUUUUCUAUUUUCAAAAUCGAGUCGACUAAAAAUUUCAGGUAUCAAUUUUCUUUGAGCGGAACCUCUUUGAGCUCCCACCCAAAGAGGGGCAGCUGUUGACAUCCGAAAUUUUCGUCGACAUUUUAAUCAUCCAUUUUGCAAAAAAAAAUAAAAAAUAAAGAGGCAAAAAUAAAUAAAUAAAAAGAAACAAAAAAAGAGAGAAAAAUAAAAAAAAUAAAAGAAAGAAAAAAAAAACAAUAGAAAAGGGGAUCGGGGGGUUCUCACUCGGUGGCUCUCUAACGCUCUCUCUCUCUCUCUAAAAUGCUCGGACGCUGAUUCUCUCUCCGGCUCUCUCUUCAUCUCGAUCUCUCUCUGGCUAUUCGGCGGUAACAACCUCCUCUCUCUCUCUCUCUCUCUCUCUAUCUCUUCCCCAUCGCGGAGGCCGACGAAAAACCCUUUGGCGCCGGCCAUGACUCCGCUCUCUGCCUCGACGGUCACCUCCAAGUCUCGCCGUGCUCGUCUUGAGAAGUAGUGCGCUGGAUCCGACAUCCUCACAAUUGGAUACUCUCUCUCCCGAUCAACUCUAGAAGACGGAGCAACUAUUGAUCGAGGAACUCGUGGUGCGAGACUCGGAAUCGUGCCGAGUUGUCGGAGAUAUCAAUUCGGUUCCGAGGGUAGAGAUUCAAAGGCGGUGACAUCGGCGGUCGAAGAUCAGUGCUUUCUCUCGAUUGGAGCUCGAUCAGUUAGGGUUUUCCUUUAUUGGCGCGAUCGGAGGUGCGGGAGCUCGCCGGAUCAGACUCUCUCUUGAUCGGACACUCCCUAGCUCUUUCCCGGAGAUUUGACGCUCACUCAUUCGAUCAUCAACUCUCGAAGACGAAGUAGCUGCCAGUGGAAGAACUCGAAGCGAUGAAACUCGAUUCGAACUCCUCUGUUCAUCCACUGAAGUUGCAGAUUCAACUAAGGUAAGCAAAACGAAAAUCCUUUUAAUAGCAUCCGAUGCGGCGAGGACUUCUCGUGUCGAAACACAUUCCCGACAACGAAAGUUCGGGGCCAGGAUGCAUUGCAAUCUGAAAUGAUUUUUGAACUUGGAUGGGCUUUGUUCUGCAAUUUCAUAUCUCUGACCUCUUUGCGCAUAUGCCUGAAAAUGAGUUUGUAUAUGUGAUUUUUGGUGCUUGAUGCCUUCAUGAGAGUUGAAGAUGGUUCGAUCAGCUUUCCAACGAGCUAUAGCACGUCCUGAUCCAAUAUCAUUAGCUACCCGAAAUCCUUUUCGAAAGUUAAGAAGGGAUUCUGGAAAACUGAUACAUAGCAGUUUACUGUUAUACAUUUUUUUUUUUUGGUCAGUCCUACUCUAUUCCUACUCUACACUCACUCUCAGACUUUUGCCCUGCCUCUUGCAGGGCGUGGGAGUCGAAACCCACUCUUGAAACUUUCGCGUCCCCACCUCAUCCCCCCUGAGAAGGUGGGGAUUUGAACCCCUCACCUCUUCCUUCCAUGUUGGAAGGGUGGCCACUGGGGCGAAUCCUAGUGGUUACUGUUAUACAUUGACUCGGCCUUGUCUGUUUUCCGAUUCUCUACUGAAUUUGGUGCUUGAAAUUUCUGGAUUGGUGCUUCAUGAAAGUUGCUUGAACUAUCCUUGGCUACAACAUACAGAGUUUUUAGAAUUUUUGGAGUUGAUUUGAUUAGGAAAAUGUUCAUUAAAUCGUCCUUUUGUCCUGACUGUGGCUUGAUUAUUGUUUGUCUUGGAUCAACUGUCAAACAUGCUCUUUUGGUCUCGAGAUCUCUCUGAAAGUCAUAGUAUAUUCCAUGGGCUUUUCAAUAAUAUAAAGAUUGCAUCAAUCGACCUUUGUUCUCCCUAUCAAUUGCAUACUUGAAACUAUGCUGCAAUCUGUCAAUGUUGCUGAAAUAUUGAUCGCUAGAACGACAAGUUCAGCUUACUUUUUUUUGUUUUGUUUUGUGUGUGAGUUUCUCUGUAUGGAUUUUGAUUAAGAUGUUUGAUCCUAACACUCAGACCUAAAAUUAGCUGCUUGGUUCCUCUUUUCGAGUCUAUCCUAUACAUACUGUUAAUGUGAACUGAGAGUAUUUCCAUGUGAUUGAGUUUCUACUGAUAUGCUGGAGCUGGUCCCUUAUGUGCAAAUGACUUGAUAUGAGCUGGUUGUUGUGGUUUUCUGUGUUCGAAGUCUUCAUGAAAGUUGAAGAUGGUUCGAUUAUCUUUCCAAUGAGCUAUAGAAUGCCCUAAUGGGACUUCAUUUAAUAUGAUUUUCGUCUGUCUAAAGUCUGGUCCAGAAUCUGCCAAAUGUUUGUCUCUCUGUUUUGGAUGACCUUCUGUGCAAAUCACUUGAUAUGAACUGGUAGAUGAUGUUAUUAGGACUUAAUGUCUUCUAGAUAAUUGUAAUAGGCAUCUCAAGCUUUAAAAUGACAUAUUUCAUGCCUGAAUCGACCAUCAUUUGCCAUGUUUAACAUUUUUUUUCUAAUCCAUUCUGAAAUCUGGAAUUUGCCUUGGUCAGAAAUGCAUAUUCUGUUUUUGGGUGGGCCUGAUUGUCUGCCACUUUCCUACGAUCUUUUGAGCAUAGAUUUUGAGGUUGAUAAUACCAAAAAAGUAAAUCACGUGUGGGAUGGUCUUGCUCUAUUGUUCUCUUUUUUAGCAAAGUUCUGUUGUUUGAUAAUUGAUAUUAGAUAUCCACCAUCAAACCAAUUUCCAACACUAAUCACUUUGCCCAGUAGCUUAUUUGUGUUCUACCGAUCCAAACUCUGUGUGUUUUUGUUUGUAAAGAUGUCCAGAGUUAUGUUGUUAUUUAGUAUCGAUAUUUCUUUGCUUGCUGUUCAUAUGUCCCGGUGUGU